rnacentral:rRNA from 1 species
AGGGUUCGAUUCUGGCUCAGGAUGAACGCUAGCUACAGGCUUAACACAUGCAAGUCGAGGGGCAGCAUGAUCUGUGCUUGCACAGAUUGAUGGCGACCGGCGCACGGGUGAGUAACGCGUAUCCAACCUUCCCCUUAGUAGGGCAUAGCCCGGCGAAAGUCGGAUUAAUACCCUAUGUUUUUCCAAUGAGGACAUCUGAGCUGGAAUAAAGAUUUAUCGCUAAGGGAUGGGGAUGCGUCCGAUUAGGUUGUUGGCGGGGUAACGGCCCACCAAGCCCUCGAUCGGUAGGGGUUCUGAGAGGAAGGUCCCCCACACUGGUACUGAGACACGGACCAGACUCCUACGGGAGGCAGCAGUGAGGAAUAUUGGUCAAUGGGCGAGAGCCUGAACCAGCCAAGUAGCCGUGCAGGAUGACGGCCCUAUGGGUUGUAAACUGCUUUUAUACGGGGAUAAAGUGAGGGACGUGUCCCUUAUUGUAGGUACCGUAUGAAUAAGGACCGGCUAAUUCCGUGCCAGCCGCAGC